rnacentral:rRNA from 1 species
GAUGAACGCUGGCGGCGUGCCUAACACAUGCAAGUCGAGCGAUCUUCUUCGGAAGAGAGCGGCGGACGGGUGAGUAACGCGUGGGUAACCUGCCCUGUACACACGGAUAACAUACCGAAAGGUAUGCUAAUACGGGAUAACAUAAGAGAGUCGCAUGGCUAUCUUAUCAAAGCUUUUGCGGUACAGGAUGGACCCGCGUCUGAUUAGCUAGUUGGUAAGGUAACGGCUUACCAAGGCGACGAUUAGUAGCCGACCUGAGAGGGUGAUCGGCCACAUUGGAACUGAGACACGGUCCAAACUCCUACGGGAGGCAGCAGUGGGGAAUAUUGCACAAUGGGCGAAAGCCUGAUGCAGCAACGCCGCGUGAGCGAUGAAGGCCUUCGGGUCGUAAAGCUCUGUCCUCAAGGAAGAUAAUGACGGUACUUGAGGAGGAAGCCCCGGCUAACUACGUGCCAGCAGCCGCGGUAAUACGUAGGGGGCUAGCGUUAUCCGGAAUUACUGGGCGUAAAGGGUGCGUAGGCGGUCUUUCAAGUCAGAAGUGAAAGGCUACGGCUCAACCGUAGUAAGCUUUUGAAACUGUAAGACUUGAGUGCAGGAGAGGAGAGUGGAAUUCCUAGUGUAGCGGUGAAAUGCGUAGAUAUUAGGAGGAACACCAGUUGCGAAGGCGGC